AAUUAAUUGAAUGGCGGGUAAGCAAUUAGAUGUCCCGAGGACAAGUGGUGGUAACUUGAAAGAGCAAUUAGUGAGGAGAACUUUGCAGAAUGUGAGGUCUCAAGGGCACAUAUAUGUUGAGCUUAGAGAGGAUGGGAAGAGGCUGAUCUUUUUCUGCACGUUAUGUCAUUCUCCAUGUUAUAGCGAUUCUGUUCUGUUUAAUCAUUUGAAAGGCAAUCUCCAUACUGAAAUGCUUGCUGCUGCUAAAGCCACAUUGUUGAAACCUAAUCCUUG
rnacentral:misc_RNA from 1 species